rnacentral:misc_RNA from 1 species
GAAAUGCGAUAAGUAAUGUGAAUUGCAGAAUUCAGUGAAUCAUCGAAUCUUUGAACGCACAUUGCGCCCGUCAGUAUUCUGGCGGGCAUGCCUGUCCGAGCGUCAUUUCAACCAUCAAGCCCCCGGGCUUGUGUUGGGGACCUGCGGCUGCCCGCAGGCCCUGAAAACCAGUGGCGGGCUCGCUGUCACACCGAGCGUAGUAGCAAUCACCUCGCUCAGGGCGUGCUGCGGGUUCCGGCCGUUAAACAGCCUUACAAAACCCAAGGUUGACCUCGGAUCAGGUAGGAAGACCCGCUGAACUUAAGC